rnacentral:lncRNA from 1 species
CCGAUUACGAACACUAUGAUUUCAGCAGCAAGCCACCCGUGGCACUCUCCACCUUCUACAAUUCACUUCGGCACCGGGCAGCAGAGGAGACCCUCCCACUGAGCAGCUUCCCCCCGGCACCUGGCCAGGAAGUGCUGAGUGAAGGCCCAGAGCCCUGGGGCCAGCUGGAGCAGAGGCCCCAUGAGGAGCCCGCUGCUGAGUUCAGUUCAUCCUCUGAAGACAACUACUACAACCACAGCACCACCAGGCAGCAAGAGUGGGGCAACCCAGCCCCUCCGCCCGCUGGGAGUCUCUUACUGCCAGUGCCUUCCACCCAGGGUGAUGGUGGUUCCCAGCUCUCAUUCCAAGCAGGGCCUGCCACUGCUGACAGCUCCAGCACUUCAUCUGGAGAAUGGUAUGAGAACUUCCACCCACUGAAGCAUCAAGAAGCCCAGCCAGAGAACCCGUCCUCCACCCCAGGCUGGCCAGCUGUCUCCCAGAUGUCGGGGAAUGGUGAUCCUCGAAGUGAUUCCUCAGACAGCAGUGAUUACGAUGAUGUCCAAGGCCUGAGGUACUAGGGCCGGGAGUCACUGCAGGUCUCUGUCUCCAGCCCUCUCUCUUGCCUUCCACACAACCAUGGCAAAUCAGUGGAUAAUAACUGAGCGAUAACUGAACCGCCCAUCUCUACACUGAAAGUCUUCAAUCGACACAUGUUCCUCCAGGAGAGGUCCCAGUGUAAGGGGGAAGGCUGGUCAGUAGGUCCCAGAACCUGCCCUAAACAGACCAGCAGUUCCCAGUGCAGUCCAGUGGGUCUGGAAUAGGCUGUGCUCCUGCACCAACGGACAGAUCUGACCCAAUUGACCAGGAAACCCACUGAGACACUCAGAAGAACAUCCCCUUCCAUGCCCGCAUUCUCCACCAGAGCCCAGCUAGCCCUGACCAUUCAUGCUUGCAAGCCAACCCCUGGAGCGGGAUGGAGUUGUCUGGGACGCCCUGCUCAGUGGUCAGGACACAGGCUGAGCUCUCUGGAAUGGUUGCAGGGGCCAUGGGCUUUAUCCCCAGCCAGGAGAAGAGCUGGGACUCAUGGGGAUGAGCACAGCUGGAGACCUAGGUAAGGUAAGCCAGCCAUCAGAAACCCUGCUAAGCUAAGCUGCCUAGGAGAUCCAAGCCUCCGGCUUUGAGGGAAAGUAGACCAAUAGUAAAGGCAGUGCCUGAUGCUCCGGAGGGCUGUGUUUCCUCCCUGGCCUUGCUGCUACCUUAUUGUUUGAAUGUGGCCAAUUCACCUCCCCCAUGACUCAGUUUCCCUGUUGAAGAUGGAGAUCAUGGUGCCCCUGAAAGACUUGGAGAUCCUGAGCUAGACGGUGCUGUCAAUGGACAAAAUAUCCUCCUAAGAAUGAGGUAAUGGUUGAGGCUAUGGAGGACGAUCCUUCCAUUUCCUCCAAGGGAGGGACCGCUGGCCAGGCAAGGAAAGCAUGGCUGAGGGCCAUUGGCAAUGUCAGGAGUUGGGAUUCAUGGCUGCUGCUCAGCUGUACCUGCUGUUACUGGAGAUGAGAGGCUGGCUCCUCCAGCCUUCUAAGGAGGUAUACAGUUUGUAUGGAUUUUUUUCCCUUGGAAAAUGUAGUUGAAAACAGUGGGAGGAAAUAAUCAUUUCAUUGCUAUUUUUCUCUGAGAUUUUCCUGGGUUUUCAAUGAACAAAAUAAUUAUUUCCUUCCCCACAAAUCUCCAAAAGCUUUCAAUGGAACCUGGCUCUGCCGAGAGGUGUGUGUGUGUGUGUGUGUGUGUGUGUGUGUGUGUGUGUGUGUGUGNNNNNNNNNNUGUGUGUGUGUGUGUGUGUGUGUGUGUGUGUGUGUGUGUGUGUGUGUAAAAAAGCCCUUUUUGCACCAAAAGAAAUCUGUUGAUGGGUAUUUUGUGAACAGUUCUGAAACUGAGAAUAAGGGGCCCUUGCUGCUCAUACUGGUGAACCCAGAGUGACCAGAGCUGUACCCUUUCCUUGCAGACAUUCGUUGAUCCUCCCCAUGGCCCUGCCAGGUGGUGGAGGAUUCUGACUUUCAUUCUCUGCAGGGGAGGGAGCGAAAGCGAGUCAUGGCUAGAUGAAAUGACUUGAGCAAGGCCACCCACUGAGUAAGCUACAGCUUCUAGCCCUAUGCUUUUUCCUCCCUAUGCCCCACUGGGACACUGCUCCUGGGGGCUGCUCAGGGGGAGCCUUUAUUUAGCGAUCAUUCCCUGCAGCAUGGACUUGUGGCCCUGCACUGGAACUUCCCCUCCAUUCCUGGAGCAGUGGGGGAAGAGAACUGCAUGGAAAAGUGGCAGGAACGAAUGUAUCUUCCAGGAUCUGAGAGCACAAGCACUGUGUAAAUAGCGGAGUUGUAGGACCGCUCCCACGCACUCAGGUGCUUGAGCGGUGCAGUGGCAGGAUUGUAAAGUGUGUUGUGAGA